rnacentral:rRNA from 1 species
AUACGUAGGGUCCGAGCGUUGUCCGGAAUUAUUGGGCGUAAAGGGCUCGUAGGCGGUUUGUCGCGUCGGGAGUGAAAACCAUGAGCUUAACUCAUGGCUUGCUUCCGAUACGGGCAGACUAGAGGUAUGCAGGGGAGAGUGGAAUUCCUGGUGUAGCGGUGAAAUGCGCAGAUAUCAGGAGGAACACCGGUGGCGAAGGCGGUUCUCUGGGCAUUACCUGACGCUGAGGAGCGAAAGUGUGGGGAGCGAACAGGAUUAGAUACCCUGGUGGUCCACACCGUAAACGUUGGGCGCUAGGUGUGGGAUCCAUUCCACGGGUUCCGUGCCGCAGCUAACGCAUUAAGCGCCCCGCCUGGGGAGUACGGCCGCAAGGCUAAA